rnacentral:lncRNA from 1 species
AUAUAUAUAAAGAGUUGGGCCAGAAUACUAUUAACAAUAUUUGCCUCCUUUUGUCAUUAAGUUUUUAGCAUUUGGAUCAAUUCCUUUGAUCAUUUAUAGCCAUUGGAUUAAAUAUUAUAACUAGUGGGGACCAGCCAACCCUAAGGGAACCACUCAAUUCUAAAAGAUUAAUGUCAUCCUAACCCUACAAUUUUUUAUCCAAGGGUAAAAACUUGAUAGCAAAAGGGGUCAAAUAUUAUCAAUAGCAUUUCAGCCCAACUCUCUCUCGCUCUCUCUCUCUCUCUCUCUCUCUCUCUCUCUCUCUCUCUCUCUCUCUCUCUCUCUAUAUAUAUAUAUAUAUAUAUAAUAUUUUAAUUAUAUGUAGGCUGAGUGAGUAAUCUGAAUUUUAUUAAAAUUGGGCCAAUGUUGCUGGCCCAUAAAAACAAACCCAUUGAAUUAUACAUGCAUAAUAUAAAAGCAUAAGUUUUGUCUCCAAUAUUUAUCUUUAUCAUUUGUGACAAUCUCAACUUGAACAUGGAAAUCGAGAGCUUAUACACUUCACUUUCUUAUUCAAUUUGUUCCUUUCCUCCCACAAAGGGGAAACAUUAAGCUAGUAACCAACUUAAGCUAUAUAUGAACCUUUGAUUCUAAUGUCUUUUUACCACAUAUGUAACAAUAACAUUUGUUCCAAAAUCCCUUGCAAAUACCACCAUGGUACAUAUUGAUGAAGCAAAGUGUCGUGCAAAUCGGAUUUAUGCAUGGCCCAGGGUACAGUAUGAGUCUCUUCUCACAUUUUUCAUCACCCUCGUCAUCACCCUUUCCACCAUCACCUUUGUCACCACCACCCUUGUCAUCACCCUUUCCAUCACUCUUGUCACCACCCUUGUCAUCACCCUUUCCACCGUCACCCUUGUCAUCACCCUUCACUGUCUCUGCAAGCAAACCAUUUUCAACAAACAUAUGUGUAUAUAUAGUUAGAUGCAAAACAUGCUUUUAUAAGAAGCACUUCCAUUUAUGUGCAUAUAUAUUAAUUUUAAGCUCAAACUGGUUUUUUUCUUUUAUGUUAUAUACCAUUAGCAUAUAUAGUUUCUCAUGAGAACUACAAGCACCCAUAUACAUCCCCCAUAAUGAAAUAUAUAAGCUCCUUUUAGGUACUUACAUUGUUUGCAUGUAGUUGUAAUUGUGUUGUAUUUUUAUUUACAUGCUAAUUCAAUUACAUGAGUGUUUGUUUGAUGAAUUUGAAUUCAAAUGCUAUAGUUGGAACUGCAUAAUAUGACACAAUUGCAGCAACUAGGCUACACCUGAAUUUUCCACAGUUUGAACUGCAGUAUUGGGAGACUGAGAUUUUUAAACAAGAUGUAAGCCUACCUUUCUAAGCGCAUUUCAAACAAAAAAUAUACAUUUUCUUCUGCAUUAGAGUUAAUCUCGCCGCGCUAACAAUAAGUAGAGUGAUAAAGUUUGUAAACACUACUUUGAAUUGCAUGCAACCAAACAUAUUAUUUACAACUGCAAUGAUUUCGACCGCAUCCAAUCAAGCAAUAUGCAUAAUAGCUGCAAUUGCUGCAUUUUCAACUACAUGCAUACAUAAUUAGAUUCAACCCAAGGCUCCUUAAAAGAGGUGUAGAGACUCAAUACCUAUGGAUAGAGAGACCAUCAACAAGCAUACAAAAAUAAUUGCUAUACUUUUUCUACCCAUAGUUAACUUUCUUAGUAAUAUAUAUCUUCCAUAACAUAAUAGAGAGCCCUCUAUAUAUAUACCUCUAAGUAUGGGAUAAAUUAAUGUGGUAAUUGAAUGAAGUGCAUUACAAGAAAAGUUGAUACAUUAAUUAUAGUGAGAUAUGAUAUUUCUAAAAGUAAGAUUAUAGAAGAUUUGUGGCAUUUACAUAAGCUUCUACUUUUUGACUCUCUUAGUAGUUCGUUGACUAUGCUAAAAUGUUAAAAAGUAGUCUGUUGACAAUAGAAAAAUUAAAAAAAAAACUUUGUUUAUUUAGAAAUGGCUAAAUUAUAGCUUUGGUUCUCAAAUUAUGAGACACGUGAUAUUUUGGUCCUCAAACUUUAAUUUAUUAUAAUUCAUGGAUCAAAUUUCUUAAAUUAUUGUAAAUUUGUUGAUUCUCUCUGUUGGGAAUCCGGUACUCGCUCCGGUACUGGAUCUUGUGAAUCCGCAACAGAUUGUUAGGAUUCCGCAACGAAAACGUCGAAUCCGGUUUUCACCAUAAACCCGUCUCCUCAGCAGAAGCUGAUACAAUCAUAAAAGAGAAAAAUAUGCAGGUAAAAUAAGAUUCAAUUAAAUAAGAGAAUAUUACACUUGAUUCCUCUUCUAUACAGAGUAGCUACAAUCCGAGCCCUCUUUCUGAAUCUCUUCUACCCUUCUCUCGUCUUCUAUAAACUCAAAAGAAGACUUCUCUUGUUGGUACACCCGUGCACUAGGUGCAUCAACUCUUUAACUCUCUCUCUCUCUUUUUCUCUCUCUCGUACGGCACAUCCCAAAGGCUCCAGCCGUACUCCCUAAAAAAUAAACCCAUCAAGAGCUAUUUACAAAGCUCCACCAAAACGUACCCCAAUCCUAAUAUAUUUAGAAUUUCUACUCCAAUAAAUAUUUAAAUCUUAAUUGAUUUAUCUCCAAUAGAUUUAAAUAUUUAUUCUAAUCUAAUUAGAUUUAUACUCUAAUUAAUAUUUAAAUCUUAAUUUAUCUCCAACAUAUUUAAAUAUUAAUUCUUAUCCAAAUAGGAUUCAACUACAAAUCUAACCAAAUUCUAACAAUCUUUAUCCUGGUUGGAUUUGUAAUCUUCAACCGCUACGUCGAGCUUACCAUGCAAGCUCCACCUUAAGCUUAUCUCCUCCGCUCGAUGUCGCCGCAUCCGUCGCUCCGCCUCGAGCGACUGCACCUCCGCGAACUUUUGGAACCCAAAUCGUCUUUGUUUCCGUUCUGACUGUGCUCCCAUUCAGAACGUACAAGUUCCCACGCUUGUUCGCCUCGCACACGACUCGAUCUCACUUUCGAACCCUCAUAGCUCCACCUGAAGCCGAAAUAUCACAACCCUUCGAGUCCAACGCGCCUAACGAGAUUAAAUUUCGCUUCAAUGCAGGAACAUGUAGAACACCCAUCAGCGUCCUCACGACCCCAUCGUGCAUUCAGAUCUUCACUGUGCCGACUCCCAAAACUUUGCACGCCGUCCCGUUCACCAUCAGAGCUUUUCCACCUUUGAUCGCCUUAUAGGUGGCAAAAGACUCCUUCUCUGGGCAGACGUGAAAGAAACACGCCGAAUCGAGCACCCACGCAUCAUCCAAAAUUUUCGCACCUCCGGUCGCCUCAUACAGUACAUCAGAAUCGAUCAUCUCCGACUCUGCCGCCUACGCCACUGCUGUUAUCGCCUCGUCCUGGUUCACGACAGUUUUCUCCUUCUGUCGCUUUAACUCCUUCAGAUCAUUCUGAAGUUUUCGACAAUUGCGCUUGAUAUGCCCUUUCCUGUGACAGUAAAAGCACUCCACCUCGGAUAGUGGCUUCUUCUGUCGAUCUCCGGUCGCCAAUAUAUUGUUGCCUCCUUCUUCGCUCUCACCACCAAAGCAGUAUCCCGGCUCUGCGUGCCGGACUCCUGAGUCAUCUUCCGCAUCUCGUUCGACAGAAGCGCCGCCGUGACCGCCUCCACGCUCAUGAUCUCCUUGCCAUAAAGUAACAUGGUCACUAGAUGCUCAUAUGUCGUCGGUAGCGAAGAUAGUAAAAUCAGCGCCUUAUCUUCGUCAUCCAGAUUGACUCCGAUGCUAGUCAAUUGGGCCACCACCUUGUUGAACUCGUUCAGAUGCUCAUGUAGGCUUACCGCUUCUUGCAUCCGCAGCGUAAACAGUCGCUGCUUCAGAUACAACCUGUUCGUCAAGGAUUUGGUCAUAUACAGAUUUUCUAAUUUCUUCCACAACUUCGCCGGUGUCGUCUUGCUGGCUACGUUUUAAAGAACCUCAUCUGCUAAUAAUAGAUGAAGCGUACUCAGCACCUUCUGCUCCAUCUUCGUCCAUGCCGCAUCCGUGACCUCCGCCGGCUUCGCCUCCAUCCCGUUCAACGCCUCGUCCAACUCUUGUUGUACGAGGAUUGCUCGUACUUUAAUUUGCCAUAAUCCGAAAUUAUUCUUGCCGUCGAACUUCUCGAUUUCGAAUUUCGUGGCCAUCUUCGUCGAUCUCUCCCUCGGAUUGAUAAACUUCAGCUCUAAUACCAAUUGUUGGGAAUCUGGUACUCGCUCCGGUACCGGAUCUUGUGAAUCCGCAAUAGAUUGUUGGGAUUCCGCAUUAGAAACGUCGAAUCGGGUUUUCACCAUAAAGCCGUCUCCUCAGCAGAAGCUGAUACAAUCAUAAAAGAGAAAAAUAUGCAGGUAAAAUAAGAUUCAAUUAAAUAAGAGAAGAUUACACCAGACUCCUCUUCUGUACAGAUCUAGUAGCUACAACCCGAGCCCUCUUUCUGCAUCUCUUCUACCCUUCUCUCGUCUUCUAUAAACUCAAAAGAAGACUUCUCUUGUUGGUACACCCGUGCACUAGGUGCAUCAACUCUUUAGCUCUCUCUCUCUUUUUCUCUCUCUCGUACGACACAUCCCAAAGGCUCUAGCCAUACUCCCCUAAAAAACAAACCUAUCAAGAGCUAUUUAUAAAGCUCCACCAAAACGUACCACAAUCCUAAUAUAUUUAGAAUUUCUACUCCAAUAAAUAUUUAAAUCUUAAUUGAUUUAUCUCCAAUAGAUUUAAAUAUUUAUUCUAAUCUAAUUAGAUUUAUACUCUAAUUAAUAUUUAAAUCUUAAUUUAUCUCCAACAGAUUUAAAUAUUAAUUCUUAUCCAAAUAGGAUUCAACUAUAAAUCUAACCAAAUCCUAACACUCUCUAAUUCUUUCAUAUGUAGUUCUUUUUGAAAACAAAUUUAUGUGGGUGUCAUUCUCUCUUAUUUACUACCUUUGAGAAGAGCUUGAUGAAAUAUUGCCUAACAAAAUUUAUCCUAUAUGUUGGCUAAUGUGUUUUGAAUUUAAAUGACAUUGAAUGCUUGUUUUCAUUUUGAUCUAAUUUGAAGAGAAGUGAAUUGACUCUUAAGUGAGAAAGCUUUAGUCUAGUUAGAUAUAAAUGAAUUAUCUGAUCCAAAUUGAAAGUUUAGUAAAAACUUAACAUGGCAUGUGAGACACAAGAGAGAGAGAGAAAGAGGAGAAGAAAAAGAAUUAUCAUACUUUAUAUCAACGUAUAUAAUAGUAUAAAAGCAUAGAGUUAACAUCCCGAAUCCCAAAUCUUCUUCUCUCUUUGUUUGUUACAAUAGGUAAUUAGUUCACCAAUACUAAUAAUUCAUUGGGCUCAUAUUAUCUAUCCAAAAUGCAUAAUUAUUAUCACUGAGCUCUUAAUUCUUAUAAUUCCAUACAUAAUUUUUUAGAUCAUAAGGUGAUGUGAGACCUUUCUCGCACUUUCAGCUGAGAAGCCAGCUUAAUUUGUUACCAAAUAUAACAAUCCAACCAACUAGCAGUAAUAACUCGUUGGACCCAAAAUAUUUAAGUUCAAUUAUUAUUACUAUAUCGUUUGCCCUUAUAACACUACAAAAAAAGCGGUCUUUACCGACGCUUUUUAGAUCAUAUAACGACGCACCAAAGCGUCGCCAAUAUUUCCGCCGACGCUUCACAAAGCGUCGGGAAGUGGGUCGGUAACCGCAGUGACGGCAGAAAAUUGCCGACGCUUAUAAAAGCGUCGGUAAACAUACCGACGUGUGAAUGCCGACGCUUUGUCGUGCGUCGGUAAGUAUGUCCGACGCAUAAAAGCGUCGGCCUAUUGGUCGUUGUUUCGGAAUAAAAUGGAUAUAAAUAUUUGUUUGCCGACACGCAAAAGCGUCGGCAGUGAUUUUUGUUAGCGAUGCUUGAAAGCGUCGGCAAGCGUUUUUGUUCACGAUGCUUUAAAGCGUCGGCAAAAUAGUUAAUAUGAUACUUUUGUAUUUCUAAAUAGUGACGCUUUGGUGCGUCGGCAAUUCCAUAGUGUAUAUUAAUUAAUUUAUUUUUUUAUAAUUUUUAUCAAAAAAGAUAUUUAUUGUUUAAUUUCUUCAACCAAGAAUUAAAAUCUACUAACCAUGCACAUCAAUAAUAAAAAAUACCAAUAACAACAAUAACACAAACAUAUAUACACAAACAUAUAUAUGAAAGGACAUAACAUAUCCUUUCAAAAAAGAAAGCACAUAACAUAGAAACUUCAUACCAAUAUAUUUUGUGGUUAGAACAAAUGGAGUAAAAGGAUGAAAUGGUAAAACAGAGCCAAAGUCUCAGGUUACUCUUCUAGUAGAAUGGAAAUUAUAUCUAUGAAAAACUAAAAAAUUUAACAUCUAUAAUGAACAGCAUAAAAACAAGGAGGUCGCUUAAGAUGAUUUUAUUCUUUUUACCUUUCGUCCCUCAGACCGCUUUCUCAAAUUUUUUGAUGUGCUCUUUACCAGCUGGAAGAUCAAGUGCUCGUUUAAACCUCUCUGAAUCUAUCCCAAUAGGAAACUGAAAAGUUUAGGCCAAAGUGUGUAAGAACCAUGAACACCAAGACUAGAAAAGGAUUUAGUAAAAAAAUAGAAUGAUUUGAUCUAUGAACAAAUUAGGUAAUUACAUAAAGCACGCAUGAGUAAUGUUUGAAAAUACUUGUAAUACAUUUUUUUAAGACUUAUCUAAUAUAGAUUAAGAAAUUCGAAAACUAAUGUGAUACAAUGCAUACAUACAAAAAUAUUGAACAAUAUGAUGCAAUAAUAUAAUAACAGUGACAAUGUGUAUCAAACCACUGCCACUCUCAUCAGUUUUCCUUGAUCUUUUACCCCUUCUGGUGUGCCCUCAAGCCCAAAAAUUCUUGCGCAAGCACUAAUGAAGUGCCUUACAUAAUUGUAUGCAUGGAAACUGAAGCAUGAAAUUGCUUAGUAAUAGUAAAACAACUAAUAGAAAAAUAGUUAGAAAGAGGAUAAAACUAUUUUUUUUUCCUUUAGAGAAAAAAACAUGUAUUGAAACUAGCUGGCCACAGGAAUUGCUGGUUUCAACCAUAGCUACACAGAGCAACACAAAAUUUUCGAAAACACAUUCCCUUCCUCUACAUUUAAAGUUAAACUCAAAUUAAAAUCUAAAUCUCAUAGUAAAAAACCCUAAUCCACCACCCAAUUCAAAUAAAUGGGUUGAAUCUCGCACUCUUCGUGGCUCCAAACCAUGGGAUUUAAAUUUCGAAGCAAAAACAAUUGAUAAAAGGAAAAAUCAAACCAGAAAAAGAAUCGAUUCUUCUCGAUGUGUCGGCGUCGAAAUCCUCCUCUCCCGCUCGCUUUCUCUUCCUUCGCCGCAGGAGACCGGCGAGUUGCCACCUUCGAAAUGAAGAAGGGAAGGCAGAGAAGCGUGAGGUGGAGUAGGGCUAGAGGACGGCGCGCGACCUGGAUGGAGGAGGUGGUGACGACGAGGCGAGGAAGGGGCGGAUUUGGGAGAGGGAGCCAAACCCUAGCAUACGUUGGGAGAGGGAGGCGCUGAGGAGAAAGGGUUGAGCGGGAGAGAAAGGAGGGAGAUGAAAAGUGCCCAAAUAAAAAAUAUAGCUAAAUAAUUUUAAUAAUAAUAAUAAAUUAUCUAACCUCUUUUGUUUCCUUAUUUUGUUUCUCGCGCAUUAUAAAUAACGACGCUAAACCCUUGCGUCGGUAAAAU